GAUGAACGCUGGCGGCGUGCUUAACACAUGCAAGUCGAACGGACUUAUUAUGAAGCCUAGCGAUUGAUAAGUUAGUGGCGGACGGGUGAGUAACGCGUGGGUAACCUGCCUCACACUGGGGGAUAACAGUUAGAAAUAGCUGCUAAUACCGCAUAAGCGCACAGGACCGCAUGGUUCGGUGUGAAAAACUCCGGUGGUGUGAGAUGGACCCGCGUCUGAUUAGCUAGUUGGUGGGGUAACGGCCUACCAAGGCGACGAUCAGUAGCCGGCCUGAGAGGGUGAACGGCCACAUUGGGACUGAGACACGGCCCAAACUCCUACGGGAGGCAGCAGUGGGGAAUAUUGCACAAUGGGGGAAACCCUGAUGCAGCGACGCCGCGUGAGUGAAGAAGUAUUUCGGUAUGUAAAGCUCUAUCAGCAGGGAAGAAAAUGACGGUACCUGACUAAGAAGCUCCGGCUAAAUACGUGCCAGCCGCCGCCGUAACAC
rnacentral:rRNA from 1 species